rnacentral:rRNA from 1 species
UACGGGGGGGGCAAGCGUUGUUCGGAAUUACUGGGCGUAAAGGGCUCGUAGGCGGCCAACUAAGUCAGACGUGAAAUCCCCAGGCUCAACCUGGGAACUGCGUCUGAUACUGGAUGGCUUGAAUCCGGGAGAGGGAUGCAGAAUUCCAGGUGUAGCGGUGAAAUGCGUAGAUAUCUGGAGGAACACCGGUGGCGAAGGCGACUACCUGGCCUGUUCUUGACGCUGAGGCGCGAAAGCUAGGGGAGCAAACGGG